GUUCGUUUCAUAAAGAAGUGAGUAACGCAGCUAACGCACUAAGUUGACCGCCUGGGGAGUACGGCCGCAAGGUUAAAACUCAAAUGAAUUGACGGGGGCCCGCACAAGCGGUGGAGCAUGUGGUUUAAUUCGAUGCAACGCGAAGAACCUUACCUACCCUUGACAUCGUGCGAACUUUCCAGAGAUGGAUUGGUGCCUUCGGGAGCGCACAGACAGGUGCUGCAUGGCUGUCGUCAGCUCGUGUUGUGAAAUGUUGGGUUAAGUCCCGUAACGAGUGCAACCCUUGUCCUUAUUUGCCAGCGGUAAGCCGGGAACUCUAGGGAGACUGCCGGUGACAAACCGGAGGAAGGUGGGGACGACGUCAAGUCAUCAUGGCCCUUACGGGUAGGGCUACACACGUGCUACAAUGGCCGGUACAAAGGGUUGCGAAGCCGCGAGGUGGAGCUAAUCCCGAAAAGCCGGUCUCAGUCCGGAUCGGAGUCUGCAACUCGACUCCGUGAAGUCGGAAUCGCUAGUAAUCGUGAAUCAGAAUGUCACGGUGAAUACGUUCCCGGGCCUUGUACACACCGCCCGUCACACCAUGGGAGUGGACUGCACCAGAAGUGGUUAGCCUAACUUCGGAGGGCGAUCACCACGGUGUGGUUCAUGACUGGGGUG
rnacentral:rRNA from 1 species